rnacentral:misc_RNA from 1 species
GAAAUGCGAUAAGUAAUGUGAAUUGCAGAAUUCAGUGAAUCAUCGAAUCUUUGAACGCACAUUGCGCCUAUUAGUAUUCUAGUAGGCAUGCCUGUUCGAGCGUCAUUUCAACCCUUAAGCUCAGCUUAGUGUUGGGAGUCUACGGUAACGUAGUUCCUUAAAGACGAUGGCAGAGCUCGAUCGAUCUCUCAGCGUAGUAAUUUUUUCUCGUUGUGGAAGACGGUCGGGCGAUAGCCAGUAAACCUAUUUUUUUAAUGGUUGACCUCGGAUCAGGUAGGAAUACCCGCUGAACUUAA